rnacentral:tRNA from 1 species
AUUUAAAUAGCUUAAUUGUAGAGUAUAAUAUUGAAGAUAUUAAGGUAACAAAAGUUUUUAGAUAGA